UCCAUCGUAUCCACCCCAGUGAGGAAGGACAAGCUUGGGGGAGAUCCUCUCCCCCACCAAGGUAAGUAUUCUAUCCUAUUUAUUUCCAUGCAUUUUAUCAUUCUUGCUCUAAAAAAAAUUAGCAUUUCCCUUUAGCAUAUAUGCUUCAUGUAUGUCUAUAUCCCUCAUGGAAAUGAUGACUAGUUGCUUGUUAAUGUUUCUCUAGUACCUAGUAUACAACUUAGUAUUUCUCCAAGUAUGGAUCACUUAGCUCACUUAAACUGCCAUGAACCUGAAAACUUUGUGGGUUGCAAGUGCUAGAACUAAGUCUAAGUUGUUGUGGGACAUGAGAUAGUGAGACAAGAGCUGCUAUAAUAUUAUUCUAAGCAUGCAUGAUUAUCAGAGAUUUAUUCUUAAAAUGAUCAAACCCUUAAUUGUUCCUCAAUGGUGAUGAAUUCCUACCACAGCUAUAUCUACUUUACAUGAUUGCAACCUUUCCACAUAAGCUAUUUGCUUUGUGUUGAGUGUCGUCAAGUCUUGUUGACCCCUGUUAAGAGACUUUUCAUGCUCCUAAGAUCAAGAUCACGUACACACCACAUAUAUAUAUGCUGCUUCUACACUGGAAGUACGCAACCACAUGUAUUUCGCAUCCACUAAAUAGGUUGCUCCAUACUCUAAAUGUUAGAAUAUCUCUCUCUAAGCAUUAUUUGGUAAAUGAGACAUCAAAAGCCUAGGCAAAAUGAAAUAAAAAGAUGGACAUGUGCAAGUCCACAAAAAAAAAUUGAGCACAUAAAGCUCGAAGAAAAAGAAAAUGCUAGCCAUGUCUCAAUAUACAAGUAGAGAGAGUGUAGCAAAUAAAGGAGCAACCUAGUCCACCAUAUAUCACACUUGCACAUC
rnacentral:lncRNA from 1 species